rnacentral:pre_miRNA from 1 species
UUAGCUCAUAUAUGUAUGGAGUUGGAACGUUUGCGUACAUUUGCCGCUAAGGGCGCUGUUCGAACUGCAUACAAAAUUGGGCUA